ACGCGAAGAACCUUACCUACUCUUGACAUCCAGAGAACUUUCCAGAGAUGGAUUGGUGCCUUCGGGAACUGUGAGACAGGUGCUGCAUGGCAGUCGUCAGGUCGUGUUGUGAAAUGUUGGGUUAAGUCCCGCAACGAGCGCAACCCUUAUCCUUUGUUGCCAGCGGUUCGGCCGGGAACUCAAAGGAGACUGCCAGUGAUAAACUGGAGGAAGGUGGGGAUGACGUCAAGUCAUCAUGCCCUUACGAGUAGGGCUACACACGUGCUACAAUGGCCAUAUUCAAGGAGAAGCGACCUCGCG
rnacentral:rRNA from 1 species